AGCAGUCGCCGCGGGAAUACGGAGGGUGCAAGCGUUAAUCGGAAUUACUGGGCGUAAAGCGCACGCAGGCGGUCUGUCAAGUCAGAUGUGAAAUCCCCGGGCUUAACCUGGGAACUGCAUUUGAAACUGGCAGGCUAGAGUCUUGUAGAGGGGGGUAGAAUUCCAGGUGUAGCGGUGAAAUGCGUAGAGAUCUGGAGGAAUACCGGUGGCGAAGGCGGCCCCCUGGACAAAGACUGACGCUCAGGUGCGAAAGCGUGGGGAGCAAACAGGAUUAGAUACCCCCUGUAGUCCCUGUCUCUUAUA
rnacentral:rRNA from 1 species